GUUUUCCUUAGGAAUCUAAAAAUGAAAAUAUUUAAAUAUUUAUAAAUUUGAAUAUUUCAAAAGUCAGAAACAUUUAAUAGUCCAAAAGUAAAGUAUGCAAGCAACAUCUCACCACUUAUUUUAAUCUAUUAACAUGUUUAUAUUUUAUGGUUUUAGUCAGUGGACAUGCAUCUUUUGUUGCUUAUUAGAUAAUGCAGUAGGCAUUGGAGACCCAGUAGUAGUCAUAAGUCACAUUUUUUUCUUUCAGAUGUAUAUGCAGAUCUAAGAGCACAGAAUGUAAUGCAUAUUAACAGGUCCAAGUAUGUCCUAUAAAGGAGGAGAUGUAAGAGAAUUUUAAGUGUCAGAUACACUAAAUAAAUGUAUAAGAUAGUCCCAGGUACCAUAAGUAUAUGAAAUAGUUAAAGAAAUCCUACUUAAGAAAUACCAACAUGGUGUGUUGGAAGAGUGGAGGUGGAUUGCCAUUUUGACAGCUCUCAACAGUGUUGCAUGCAAUGCAAACUAUGUAGAGCUAAAAGAAGAGUGUGAUCUGAUCACGGUAGUGGUAGGGUCAUGGGAGGAAAGGGAGGAGGCAAUAAUGAUAUAAGUACAUCGUAAUCCUAAAUAAUAAAAUAAAUAAAUAAAUAUAAAAAUUGCCGGGCAGUGGUGGCGCACACCUUUAAUCUCAGCACAUGGGAGGCAGAGGCAGGUGAAUUUCUGAGUUUGAGACCAGCAUGGUCUACAGAGUGAGUUCCAGGACAACCAGGACUACACAGAGAAACCCUGUCUUGAAAAACCAAAAAAAUAAAAAUAAACAAAAUAAAAAUUAAGAACAAUGAAAAGCCUGAUUUUACAGUAAAUAGUAUUAUAAUUUCCUGGCAAGUGUCUCAUUCAGAGUAUGGUGUCUUUGAGCAGUAAAGGGCUUUCUUUAAUAUGGGUUGUGGUGGUUUGAACGAGAGAUCUCUCCAUAGGCUCGUGUGUUUGAACACUGGUCUCCAGUAGGUGGUGAUGUUUGGGGAGGAUUUGUGCCACUUGGAAAGGCACUGAGAACUUAGCUUUGUGCUAGCUACUUCCUGUUCUGUCUGCUUCUUGUGUGUGGACGAUAAUCAGCCCCUGCUCCUGCUACCAUUGCAUGCCUGCCUUACCACUGUGAGCAUUCUUGACCCUGGAACCAUACGUUAUUUUAAACCCUUUCAUUUAUAUUGCUCUUUGUCUAUAAUAUUUUAUCAUGGCAACAGGAAAAAAAAUAAUACAGAUUCCUUAUAAUUUGAAACAUAGGGAUUUGAGAUCGGGAAAAAAAAGCAAAAAAACAAAAACCUUCCAAAAUAAAAGUUCACUUAAAUCUUGUGACUUUUCUAAACGACUCAGCUUUUUAAAGUUCAACCUACACACCAAACCAUAAAUCUUUGUCCCAGUGCAGCGGCCAUAAAACAUGACCAUAUAUGACUCUGUAUGCAGGAUCCCACUUCCUGCUAGUUUACAGUCAUAGUAGCAUUCACUCAUGUGGAGAACAACUUUCCCAACAAUAAACUCUUCAGGGAUCUAACUCAGACACAUAAAGAAAAUCAUGUUUUUUUGCAAAACAAAUUAACCAUGCAAUUCAAAGGAGGCAACUAAGAAAAGUUUUUCUUUGAGUGUGAACUAUGCUUUAGAUAACUAUUAAAUCUUAUGAAAUAUAUUUGAGGCCAGUACUUUACUUAAGUCCAUUUUAAUUAGAACUAUAGAUACCAGGAACUUCUUUGUGGAAUCAGUAUUAUUAAAGAGAUAUAAGGAAAAAUGUAACAAAGAUAUAUGAACUCUGUGAUCUUGAUUUUUAAUUUUUAAAAAAAAUUUGACUAUUUCUAUUCAUAUGUUAUUUCAUCAUUGUCCAGGUAUUUUUGAGCAAAGCUGCUAACUUUCAUUAAAAGCAGAAGAGACGCUUUAUCGCUUACUUUGAUAAUGCUUUCAUCUAACUGGGAUUUCAGAUGAUUUAUCUUUUUUUCAUCAUUUCUCAUCACUUACUUUAAAAUACGUAUGUAGAACUAUGUCCAAAUCAUAUAGAAAAGCUCCUGUGUUUUAUAGAAUAUACAGUUGGUUAAAAAGAAUUAACUGUAAACAUCAGAGCUCUCUUUGCUUUUGAGCAUUCCAGGUGGGAGGGGUCCUUUCACCAGUCCAGUACACGUUUUUUUUUCACUUCCUUGGCACCUAUCGCUUUUAUCUUCUUUCUAGAAUACUCCCUUGACCUGAAUGAGACAUACAGAGCUCUCCUCUGUCUAUGAUAAGUAAAUAUUGAUUGAUAGGAUUUGGGAGGUGUCUAAAAGGUAUUUUAAAAUAAAUCUUUUCAAAAAUAUUGUGGGUUUUUUUAUUAGCUAUUUUCUUUAUAUACAUUUCAAAUGCUAUCCCGAAAGUUCCCUAUACCCUCCCCCCGCCCUGCUCCCCUCCCCACCCACUCCCACUUCUUGGCCCUGAAAUUCCCCUGUACUGGGGUAUAUCAAGUUUGCAAUACCAAGGGGCCUCCCAAAAUUUCUUCUUUUCAUGAUUUCUUAAACAUAGGCUAUGUUUAGCCAGACAGGGCAUCAGGGAAGAGGAAAAGCAGAAGCCUACUUUUGGCUAAACUAACGGAGUCCUUGAGAUUAUGGUGAAUUCCAUCAUUUAAGACUGGGAUUUUUCCCGAGUUUCUUGAUACAAACUAUAAUAGUACGCCCUUGUUCAAAAUUGGUCCACUCUUCUUUUAGCAAAAGGUUCCUAUGGUAUUUUUAUCAGGUGCUUCCCUGAUUAGUAUCUAAAAAUAAGUCGCCACUUACAUUACUAACAUAGUUUUCCACUUUAGAAUUUCAUGAGCAAAAAUAAGUACAUGGUUGUAUUUCUGGUAGCAAGAACAUAUUAGAAAAUAAAUCUCGUUCACAUUGAAGGUCUAAUAUGAGUAGCCUUUUAUAGCACAACAAUUGGUUUUCCAGUACCAAAAGGUCACUCCUGAAAACAUACGUACAAGCAAUGUUAUAUGGACUCAACAGGUCAUACUCAGGAAUAUAUGUUAUAUAAAAAUACAUAUAUGCAUGUAAUAAAAUUAGUUAAAAAGAAGUCAUGAAUUCAUAGAGCAACUAGAUGUGGUUUGAGGGUCUAGAGGAAUGGAAGGGAUAAAUAUAAUUUAUUAUAAUUUC
rnacentral:lncRNA from 1 species